AGACACUUUUCAAAAUCUAUUUAUAUAAAAUCAUAUUUACAAUUGAUAAAAACAUCAAAGUUAAUAUUUAAGGCAAUAAUAAAUAUGUUUAUCCUUAUUGAAAGACGAAAUGUAGAAAAUGUUAUUUUGGGCAGUCAAUGCAAAGGUGUCAAUGUGCAAUAAACAAACAAUGCAAUAAACAGAUAAAUGAAUAAUUCAGUCUGCACUAAUAUACAUCAAACAAAAGUAUUUUAAGUAUGUGUGCUUGUUUAAGUCUUUUUAGUUUUGUACUUUUAAACAGUAUUUUUUAUAAAUAAAUAAGACUUUACAUAACAUUGUGUUUACAAUUUAAAAUACGACCAAAUAAUACUAAUAUUUAUUGGUGUACUUUCGUAUAUUGCAAUGGAUCUUGGAAACAGUAGUCAUUUAACCUCAGGAGCGUUCAAUACGCCGUGGAAAAUGGACUACCUUUCCCAUAAUGCAAUUGGUCAUGAUCAGGAACUUCCGCGAAAUUCAAACCCCCACUGUGUACCGCUGUGUACUGGACGGAGGACGCGCGAUCUUUUGUCUUGUGGAGUUUUAUAUAACACAGUAAGAAGUCAUGUACCACACUUUGUCAACAAUAAAUGUUGUUUCUGCAAUCUGGAUAAAGAAUAAUAUAUUAUUACUGCCUCUUGGAGAACAGCCGACCGUACUCCAGACAGAGACAGACGUGAGGACAUCCAUUGCUUUUAAGUCAUGUACCACACUUUGUCAACAAUACAUGUUUUUCCUGCUAUCUGGAUGAAGAAUAAUAUAUUACUGCCUCUUGGGAAAACAGCAGACUGUACUCCAGACAGAGACAAAGACAUGAGGACAUCCAUUGCUUUUAAGUGCUAUACCAGACUAUGUUGUUCCAGCUGUCUGGGUAAAGACUGAUACAUUACUGUCUCUUGGAGAACAACAAACCAUUCUCUAGACAGAGACAUCAAAACAGAAAAUGAAGCACGGUACUUGAUCUUGGAUUGUUUGGAGUGAACGUUGACAAAUAAUGAAGCAGGAAAUGAAAAUGCUUGUCCAAAACAAUUUUUGUACUUGGCUGUAAGAAUUCCUUUGUGUGCACAGACAUGACUGGAGAUUAAAGUUACUAAAUGUUGCUUUUUUCUAGCUGGUGACAUAACAUGGUAUUAUUUUCAAAUGUAUUUAUCUAAUACACAUUUGCACAUCUGUAAACAUUCAUUUUAUAUUGCAUGUUUUUUAUAUUUAAAGGGAUAGUUCGGCCAAAAACGAUAUUAAACCCAUGA